GAUGUUGUUUGGGAGGUGACAGGACUUGCUCGAGGUGUCUGCAGCACCAUUGCAACUUCCUUCUGGCUCCAUUUGACCUUCUCUGUGCUAUGUAUCUAGUAGCCAUAAACUUUUGAAAUAGUCUACUAGUACUAUAUCUCAAUCUAAAAAAAUAGCUGGAAAAUUGAAAACUCGGAGUGCCCCGAAUGGCUUUGUAUUUGUCUUUGGGCAGUGGAGAAGCGUGGUGUGUUUUUUCCGUUGCUCUGUAAUGCUCUUGGUAUGAAGCGCAUUAAAUAUGAGUCAGGAUGAUAAAGCUCCCUCAAAGGUCUCUCUGAAUACUUGCUCUGGGACUUAUUAAUGAUGAUAAAGAAGCCCAAGUGAAAUGCCAGGGCCCUGCUCCUUUUUCAGAGUCCAUACCUCAGUGGAAAUAAUGCAAUAUAUAACUUAGAAGGAAUUUAAAAUAAUGAUGAGUAUUUGUAGGUGAGUCAAAUUUAGGAAAACCCCAUGCCUUCGAAGCUAUUCCAUGAAAAAAGAGUCCAGUGACUUUGCGUUUGGGAAACUCUCAAGGUUUUUUGUCCCUCGGGGGCAUCACUGACGUCUGAAGGGUUCUGAGAGCUUCUGCAGUGGAUGACUCCCCGGAGGCUUUCAGGCUAAACAAACAGAAAAUGUCCACUGGAGGAAAGUAGAAGCUGAAGUGCCUCUCCAGUAAGUGCCGCGAGUGCUGGACUAAAGAAACCAUCCUUAGCACAUUCAAGCAAGCGAUUCAGAGUCAUCUGGCUUAAUUGUCCCUUUGUCGGUCUCUGUAAAAUCGUUGGAAUGACAUUGAUGUUCUGCGUCAAAAGGUGGAUGGAGACUCAGAUAUGGUGGCCACCUGUGUCUACACUCCAGGAGGGGGAAGGACUCAACAAAGAAACAAUGAAUUCUGCUAGCACUUCUGUCUGGGAGAAAGCCACCCCUCCAGGCCUCGCCCUGAAGCCAGACAAUUCAGUUCCUCCUC